UGGCCAUUUAAUUAAGCUCUCAACAGCGUAAGCAUACCACAUUGUAACCAUACCACGUAGGCGGGAAAACACACGGCAUACGCCAUGGAUUCAGCCUCGUACGCGCUCGCGCGUGUGUGUUUAACUCUCUCUCUUUCUAGUAGUUUCAUAUCGUUUAUAUGUUCAAUUUAAAAGAAAAGAUAAACCUAGUCUAAUAUGUUGUUUCAUCUUCUAGAGACCAUCCAGAGAACUCGUUGCUUCGGUUUGAUUGAAGACGUCUAUUGGCCCUGCAGCCUGCUGUUUUUUUUACCAUCCAAACCCCCCUACCCCAUCUUUCUCGCUACCCCCAAACCCCAUCUCCUCUUAUGGCGUUUUUGAUGUCUCUUUUUUGAGACCGCUCAGUAAAACGGCUUGCCUAUCCUCUACCUGUCUCUUCCCUAUUUCUCUCUACCUUAUUUACCGCUAUCAUUAUUGGUUUCUCAUUUCUCCGGAAAUGCACAAGAAAAACAAACAAACUUGAAAAAACCUGACCCUUUGAAAAAACCUGACACUUUGAAAAAACCCAGAAACUUGAAAAAAAAAAAUAUUUCUUUUUGAAAUAGAAAGUACCAUCUCACUACAAACUGGUUUGUUUUGAGAAAUCUCCUUCUGUACCUAUUGUCACUCCCUUUUUUCACGCUCCCUGUAGUUCACGCUGAAGAGAUGCCAAAGAAAAGCAAAAGAUCCCAAGCGACUAAAGUAAGGUAGAGUAAGUCUGGUGAGUUUCCGCUCAAAACACAAGCUGAACAUGUGCAGAAUUGUGAUCCUGACAGCAACAGAGAAGUACAUUUUCCUGACCAUUCUCAUGCUAAUGUGAAAUGUGUGUUAGCAUCCUACAGUCAGAGCCAUCAUAGAUAUAUUGAUUCAAAAAACAGUCAGGGCACCUGUAACUCUGUGACAUUUCUAGCUUUCCUGCACGAGUUACAUCACCUGCAAAGCGCAGACCUUGAUCAGA
rnacentral:lncRNA from 1 species